AGUGAACGCUGGCGAUAGGCCUAACACAUGCAAGUCGAACGGCAGCACAGUAAGAGCUUGCUCUUACGGGUGGCGAGUGGCGGGCGGGUGAGGAAUACAUCGGAAUCUACUUUUUCGUGGGGGAUAACGUAGGGAAACUUACGCUAAUACCGCAUACGACCUACGGGUGAAAGCAGGGGAUCUUCGGACCUUGCGCGAUUGAAUGAGCCGAUGUCGGAUUAGCUAGUUGGCGGGGUAAAGGCCCACCAAGGCGACGAUCCGUAGCUGGUCUGAGAGGAUGAUCAGCCACACUGGAACUGAGACACGGUCCAGACUCCUACGGGAGGCAGCAGUGGGGAAUAUUGGACAAUGGGCGCAAGCCUGAUCCAGCCAUACCGCGUGGGUGAAGAAGGCCUUCGGGUUGUAAAGCCCUUUUGUUGGGAAAGAAAAGCAGCAGGUUAAUACCCCGCUGUUCUGACGGUACCCAAAGAAUAAGCACCGGCUAACUUCGU
rnacentral:rRNA from 1 species